rnacentral:rRNA from 1 species
GACGAACGCUGGCGGCGUGCCUAAUACAUGCAAGUCGAGCGAAGUUUUUCUGGUGCUUGCAUCGGAAAAACUUAGCGGCGAACGGGUGAGUAACACGUAAAGAACCUGCCUCAUAGACUGGGACAACUAUUGGAAACGAUAGCUAAUACCGGAUAACAGCAUUAACUGCAUGGUUGAUGUUUAAAAGUUGGUUUUGCUAACACUAUGAGAUGGCUUUGCGGUGCAUUAGCUAGUUGGUGGGGUAAAGGCCUACCAAGGCGACGAUGCAUAGCCGACCUGAGAGGGUGAUCGGCCACACUGGGACUGAGACACGGCCCAGACUCCUACGGGAGGCAGCAGUAGGGAAUCUUCCGCAAUGGGCGAAAGCCUGACGGAGCAACGCCGCGUGAGUGAAGAAGGAUUUCGGUUCGUAAAGCUCUGUUGUUAGGGAAGAAUGAUUGUGUAGUAACUAUACACAGUAGAGACGGUACCUAACCAGAAAGCCACGGCUAACUACGUG